UACCCGCAGCACAAGUGGUGGUCAUUAUUAUUGGGCCUAAAGCGUCCGUAGCUGGCGUGUUAGAUGCCUGGGUAAAUCGAUGCGCUCAACGUAUCGAAUUCCGGGUAGACCGACACGCUCGAGACCGGGAGAGGUGUAGGGUACUCGGGGGGUAGGGGUAAAAUCCUGUAAUCCUCCGGGGACGACCAGUGGCGAAGGCGCUACACUAGAACGGCUCUGACAGUGAGGGACGAAGCCCUGGGGCGCAAACCGG
rnacentral:rRNA from 1 species